GGCUCGUGGGAUGCCCACCCUAGCCUAUCCUGCACCUGUUCCCCUGGGUCGAGCGGCACCUCCCGUCAGGGGCCCGGUUCGCGCUGACUGCACAUGGUGUGAGCCCUGGCUCUGGGGGCCGACCGCUCCCCGCACGGGGGCCGGUGCUGUUCUGGCUCCUCUUCCCUCUGGGGGUACAGACCCCUUCCAGGGUGCCGGGUGUAAGCUCCAGCUUGUCGUCUCACAUGGACCCAAGGCCCACGUCCUGUCUGCGUGUGCACGUUAGACCCUGACCCCCAGGCCCUGCUAAUGCCCCUGCCCCCUCCCCGGCUAGUUUGCUGUUCUGUCUGCUUUCUUGUGAGCUCAGCUACAGCUGAGCCCGUAGCUGGUGUUUCUAGAGCCUGGUCUGGGCGCCGGGCUGAGCCCCAUGGGAGGGGAGGCCGUGUUCCUGGAGGGUGCUCUGUGCUCCUCCGGGCUCCGGACUUCCCUGGAGGGUGGUCUCACGUUGUCCUCGUCGGGCACACCACUGCUCAGCUGGUGGUCUUUGCUGCCCUCUCAACCUCGUGACGCUGAGUGACACCUGAGGUGCUCUUCUCCCAAGACGCAUGCCCGUGCCAGGCCUUCCUGUCCCCUCUUUGUGGUAGACGUUCUGUGACGAUUGUUGCACAAGGCUGACCCAGGACAUCAUCGUCUCCCACCCUCUGGUUCCACACCAUUUGAAAGGAUAGUCUGGAAGGACGGGAGUGUUGGUGUGGCUCCCAGGAGGUCUGGAUCAGGGAGAAGGGCUUGGACUGGAGACCAAGACGGACUUUUCGCGGUCUCUUCCCCUCCCCCCACACCAACGCCAGCUGCGGGGGGACAGUGCGUGCGGUGCGUGGGGCAGGCAGAGCCCGGGUCUUGGGGCCUGUGAGCGCGUGGACCCCUGGCAGGCGGGCUGGGGGCGUGACCCCAGAGUCCCCGUGCGGAAGGACUGGGCCAUGGUUUCUCUAGGCUGAGCUGGGAGUGAGUGAAAGGAGAGGAAGGUUUUUAUUGACGUUCACAGGAAGAUCUCCGUGUGCUUGAAUUUAGUGGGAGGUCCCGGUGAUUUUAUGUGACCCGGGGGUCAACUACCACAUGGUGCAUUCUUCUCCUAGGAUUUGCGGGGGGACCCCCACCCCCGCCAGCCCUGGGGUUAGGAGCUGCUUCGGGAAAGGAAAGGAAGUGGGUCAUUGCACAGAUGCUUUCUCGUGAGCUCACUGGACACUGUUUGGCCCCAGUGAAGCAUCUUUCUGGCUACCACCCCGGCUGACUUCCUUUCCUACCGGGUGCUCUCUGAGACACCUGUCGGGCGGGUCCAGCCUGGGCAUGGCCGCCAGCACCCACACCCGGGUGUGUGGCGAGGUAGAGUGGUUAACACGGAAAAGUCUACCAGGAAGAAGACGGGGACCCAGUUCACAAGAGUGUGGUUUGAUCUCCAUGCAAUUAACUUGAUGAAAUCUUUUACCUUUUUUUUUUCCCCCCAAAAUUGACCCUUUUAAAGAUUGCACAAUAAAAGUCAAGGGUAAAGUGAA